rnacentral:rRNA from 1 species
AUUGAACGCUGGCGGCAGGCUUAACACAUGCAAGUCGAGCGGAGCGAGGGUGCUUGCACCUUAGCUUAGCGGCGGACGGGUGAGUAAUGCUUAGGAAUCUGCCUAUUAGUGGGGGACAACAUUCCGAAAGGAAUGCUAAUACCGCAUACGCCCUACGGGGGAAAGCUGGGGAUCUUCGGACCUCGCGCUAAUAGAUGAGCCUAAGUCAGAUUAGCUAGUUGGUGGGGUAAAGGCCUACCAAGGCGACGAUCUGUAGCGGGUCUGAGAGGAUGAUCCGCCACACUGGGACUGAGACACGGCCCAGACUCCUACGGGAGGCAGCAGUGGGGAAUAUUGGACAAUGGGCGCAAGCCUGAUCCAGCCAUGCCGCGUGUGUGAAGAAGGCCUUUUGGUUGUAAAGCACUUUAAGCGAGGAGGAGGCUACUUGGAUUAAUACUCUAGGAUAGUGGACGUUACUCGCAGAAUAAGCACCGGCUAACUCUGUGCCAGCCGCCGCCGUAACAC